rnacentral:rRNA from 1 species
CCUGAAUCCAUUCCGAACUCAGAAGUGAAACGCAGCAUCGCCGAUGGUAGUGUGGGGAGUCCCCAUGUGAGAGUAGGUCAUCGUCAAGC